rnacentral:pre_miRNA from 1 species
AGUGGAACAUGAGCCAAGAAUGACUUGCCGGCCGACUUUCGACACCUCUCGUUUUGUGGUCGGCACGGUCUUCUUCGGCUCUUGUUCCCUC